GACCUCAUGCAGGGCUCGGGCUCGCACCCCUGCAGGCACGAGCUUUGCUGUCUCAACAAGCCCGUCGCGUGCCUGCCGGCCUCGGGGCCUCUGCCUGUAAUGCUGUCCCCCCCCCCCCCCGGAGCUCCCAGGGCGCCCUCACCUCCCGCCGUGCUCUGCUCCCACACCGUCCCCAAGUAGCACUAACCUCCGCAGGCCACUCUCCUUGUCUGCGGAGCCUGUAUCACCACCGGACAAUGACAGGUUAAGGAGGUUCUGGUCUGUCCUCCUCUGGUGGGUCUCCCUGGAGGAACUGAGCCCUGGGAAAGUUGAGUGGGGGAGGAGGGCUUCAGAGUUCAGCCUGCAUUUCCCCCAGGACUCUGCACGCCAGCCUGUGGGCCCCCAGCCCAUUACGACCCCCUCCCCCACGCGCUUGACGCGCCUCGGUUCCCUCUGGGAGCAGGACAAUGCUAGACCCAGGGUUUAGUAUCUGCCUGUGGUAUCUGGGGAACCCAGCGGGGGACGGAGCACGUCCAGUAAGUUGGCAAAUAUGGGAAACCAACAACGCUAAGGAAAAAACUGGCAUGGCCGUGGCUCGUGGGAGCGGUUUGGGGCUGGCUGGCUGGCCGCGCUGCCGUGUUCCCGACCGCAGCCUCCUCUACCUUCUCCGAGGGACGACCGACGCCCACGUCCUCCGGGGCUGCGACUCAGUCACGCACACGCCAGCCUCCCGGUCUGCCCCGCUGCCCAGCCCGCCGGCCCGCCCCGGUGCUGCACCCCGCCCGCUCUCGUCGGCGCUGGCUGGAAGGGCUUAAAUGCGGGACGCCGGCCCCGCCCACGGCCCCGCCCACGGCCCCGCCCACCCUCCGCAGAGUGAGGCUAACGCAGCCUUUGCGCCGCGGAGGACCAGUUUCCCUCGUUCUUUGGGGUGACUGAACUCUGACCUAGGUCAGGGGAGAAGAAGUCUCUUCUAGAACGUUUCCUUCUCUGGAUGUCUCUGGUUCGCUCUAAUUUUGGAAGCACCGUUUCAGUCCUAGGGACCCAUACUCCUUCUUCAGACCCCGCUCCCUUAGCCAAUAUCCCAACUUCACCAAAGGAGCUGAAUUUUUUA